rnacentral:rRNA from 1 species
UACGGGGGGGGCAAGCGUUGUUCGGAAUUACUGGGCGUAAAGCGCGCGUAGGCGGCUUUUCAAGUCGGGCGUGAAAGCCCCGGGCUUAACCUGGGAAUGGCCGUUGAAACUGGCGAACUGGAGUGUGGCAGAGGGGGGUGGAAUUCCGCGUGUAGCAGUGAAAUGCGUAGAGAUGCGGAGGAACACCGAUGGCGAAGGCAGCCCCCUGGGCUAACACUGACGCUCAGGCACGAAAGCGUGGGGAGCAAACAGG